UGUCCUCCAUAGGAGGUCUAUCUUGAGCAGAUUCUUUUUGGUAUUGGGUGGUGGAACUGGAGUGUGCUCCAUCCACUCCAUGCAUUGACCUGGUAUUGCAGUGCUUCCAGGACCGGUGC
ensembl:snRNA U2 U2 spliceosomal RNA